UACGUAGGGACCGAGCGUUGUCCGGAAUCAUUGGGCGUAAAGAGCGUGUAGGCGGCUAUUUAAGUCCUGCGUGAAAUCCUGCGGCUCAACCGCAGACGGUCGUGGGAAACUGGAUGGCUAGAGUGCGGGAGAGGAGAGUGGAAUUCCCGGUGUAGCGGUGAAAUGCGCAGAUAUCAGGAGGAACACCUAUGGCGAAGGCAGCUCGCUGGGACGGUACUGACGCUGAGGCGCGAAAGCGUGGGGAGCAAACAGG
rnacentral:rRNA from 1 species